UAGGGAAUCUUCGGCAAUGGGGGCAACCCUGACCGAGCAACGCCGCGUGAGUGAAGAAGGUUUUCGGAUCGUAAAGCUCUGUUGUAAGAGAAGAACGAGUGUGAGAGUGGAAAGUUCACACUGUGACGGUAACUUACCAGAAAGGGACGGCUAACUACGUGCCAGCAGCCGCGGUAAUACGUAGGUCCCGAGCGUUAUCCGGAUUUAUUGGGCGUAAAGCGAGCGCAGGCGGUUAGAUAAGUCUGAAGUUAAAGGCUGUGGCUUAACCAUAGUACGCUUUGGAAACUGUUUAACUUGAGUGCAGAAGGGGAGAGUGGAAUUCCAUGUGUAGCGGUGAAAUGCGUAGAUAUAUGGAGGAACACCGGUGGCGAAAGCGGCUCUCUGGUCUGUAACUGACGCUGAGGCUCGAAAGCGUGGGGAGCAAACAGGAUUAGAUACCCUGGUAGUCCACGCCGUAAACGAUGUCUACCAGUCGUUGGGUCUUUUAAAGACUUAGUGACGCAGUUAACGCAAUAAGUAGACCGCCUGGGGAGUACGGCCGCAAGGUUA
rnacentral:rRNA from 1 species